GAUGAACGCUAGCUACAGGCUUAACACAUGCAAGUCGAGGGGUAACAAGAGAAAAGCUUGCUUUUCUUGUUGACGACCGGCGCACGGGUGAGUAACGCGUAUCCAACCUGCCUAUAACUAGGGAAUAACCUUGCGAAAGUAAGACUAAUACCCUAUGAUUUCCUUUGAUGACAUCAGAUUUGGAAUAAAGAUUUAUCGGUUAUAGAUGGGGAUGCGUCUGAUUAGCUUGUAGGCGGGGUAACGGCCCACCAAGGCAACGAUCAGUAGGGGUUCUGAGAGGAAGGUCCCCCACAUUGGAACUGAGACACGGUCCAAACUCCUACUGGAGGCAGCAGUGAGGAAUAUUGGUCAAUGGGCGGAAGCCUGAACCAGCCAAGUAGCGUGCAGGAUGACGGCCCUAUGGGUUGUAAACUGCUUUUAUACAGGAAUAAAGUUAGCCACGUGUGGUUAUUUGUAGGUACUGUAUGAAUAAGGACCGGCUAAUUCCGUGCCAGCCGCCGCCGUAA
rnacentral:rRNA from 1 species